rnacentral:rRNA from 1 species
GACGUAGGGCGCGAGCGUUGUCCGGAUUUAUUGGGCGUAAAGAGCUCGUAGGCGGCUUGUCGCGUCGACUGUGAAAACCCGUGGCUCAACCAUGUGGUCUGCAGUCGAUACGGGCAGGCUAGAAUUCGGUAGGGGAGACUGGAAUUCCUGGUGUAGCGGUGAAAUGCGCAGAUAUCGGGAAGAACACCCAUGGCGAAGGCGGCUCUCUGGGACGGUACUGACGCUGAGACGCGAAAGCGUGGGGAGCGAACAGG